rnacentral:tRNA from 2 species
GGGUGCGUGGGAGAGUAGCUAUUCCAUCAGACUGUAAAUCUGACGCCUUCGGGCUUCGCAGGUGCAAGUCCUGCCGCACCCACAA